AUGAUGAUGUCACUGACUCUACUGCUGGCCACCCUGGGGCUCCUUGUUCAGGGAUCAUCAGGACAAAUCAUCCUGACUCAGUCUCCUGGAUCUCAGUCUGUUGUUCCAGGACAGACUGUCUCCAUCAGAUGUAAAAGCAGUUAUAGUACCAGCUACCUCCACUGGUACCUUCAGAAAACUGGAGAAGCCCCUAAACUCCUGAUUUAUCAAGCUACAAACCGUCAGCCUGGAGUUUCAGAUCGUUUUAGUGGAAGUAGAUCAAAUACUGACUACACUCUGACCAUCAGUGGAGUUCAGGCUGAAGAUUCAGGAGUUUAUUACUGUCAGCAGAGUGCCAGGAGACCGUUCACACAGUGA